CAGCCGCCACGGUAAUACGUAGGGCGCAAGCGUUAUCCGGAAUUAUUGGGCGUAAAGAGCUCGUAGGCGGUUUGUCGCGUCUGCCGUGAAAGUCCGGGGCUCAACCCCGGAUCUGCGGUGGGUACGGGCAGACUAGAGUGAUGUAGGGGAGACUGGAAUUCCUGGUGUAGCGGUGAAAUGCGCAGAUAUCAGGAGGAACACCGAUGGCGAAGGCAGGUCUCUGGGCAUUAACUGACGCUGAGGAGCGAAAGCAUGGGGAGCGAACAGGAUUAGAUACCCGCGUAGUCCCUGUCUCUUAUAA
rnacentral:rRNA from 1 species